UACGUAGGGUGCAAGCGUUGUCCGGAAUUAUUGGGCGUAAAGCGCUCGUAGGCGGUCUGUCACGUCGGCUGUGAAAACCCGAGGCUCAACCUCGGGCCUGCAGUCGAUACGGGCAGACUUGAGUACUGCAGGGGAGACUGGAAUUCCUGGUGUAGCGGUGGAAUGCGCAGAUAUCAGGAGGAACACCGGUGGCGAAGGCGGGUCUCUGGGCAGUAACUGACGCUGAGGAGCGAAAGCGUGGGGAGCGAACAGG
rnacentral:rRNA from 1 species